GCGGCCGCUUUCGGCGAAGGAAACAAGCUGAAGUAGCCGUUCCGGCGAGACGGAGCAGUGUUUUAAUACAAAAAAACAGGAAUUAUCACACGGAAACAUCUGACCUGUAACCACUUAUCUUCCUUUCAUGGAAUCAGAAAAAAGGUAAUUACUCCUCCCUCACACACACAUUGUGGAAGACUUCACAUGGCAU